CCUACGGGCGACAGCAGUGAGGAAUAUUGGUCAAUGGACGAGAGUCUGAACCAGCCAAGUAGCGUGAAGGAUGACUGCCCUAUGGGUUGUACACUUCUUUUCUAUGGGAAUAAAAUGUUCCACGUGUGGGAUUUUGUAUGUACCAUAUGAAUAAGUAUCGGCUAACUCCGUGCCAGCAGCCGCGGUAAUACGGAGGAUCCGAGCGUUAUCCGGAUUUAUUGGGUUUAAAGGGAGCGUAGGUGGAUUGUUAAGUCAGUUGUGAAAGUUUGCGGCUCAAACGUAAAAUUGCAGUUGAAACUGGCAGUCUUGAGUACAGUAGAGGUGUGCGGAAUUCGUGGUGUAGCGGUGAAAUGCUUAGAUAUCACGAAGAACUCCGAUUGCGAAGGCAGUUCACUGGACUGCAACUGACACUGAGGCUCGAAAGUGUGGGUAUCAAACAGGAUUAGAUACCCUUGUAGUC
rnacentral:rRNA from 1 species